rnacentral:rRNA from 1 species
GGUUGAAUGGAGAAUCCGUGACCAUUGAGUUUUUGAACGCAAGUUGCGCCCGAGGCCAUUCGGUCAAGGGCACGUCUGCCUGGGCGUCA